AAAGAAUCUCAUGACAUAACACUUACUUUUUUUUAGCCCUAGCAUACAAAAAGGACCCAUGCCUCACAAGAUGCUUUACAACUUACACAUUAUACUUGACAAAACAUAUAUCUGAAGUUAGCGAGUUCUUUACAAAGAAUGUGAUUUAGAAGGUUUAAUUCUCGAUGCACAAGAUGCCUUCAAGAUUUACAACCCUAUCAAAAAUCCUUUUGGGGCUCUUUUUAAGCUGUUGGUUCAGGAAUCAUCUAAUAGCACAAUAUAUGAAACAGAUUACCCCUUCAACAUUUCCAGAGCACAGACUCUUUUAUCAUGAUGAAACUCAUAUAAAAGUUAUAUAAUGAGGUUAAAUCCAACCUUCAAUGAAGAACCAAAGCUGGCAUGUUCCGAAUAUUUUUACACCAUCAGCACUGACUUGUUCGACCAGCUAGCUGGCGCACUGAAGGGAACACCAUGAAUUGACAUAGUCCAUCUAGUUAAUGCAACUUACCAUAAAGCGUUAAAUGACAGCAGCAAACAGCUAGGUUGAAACUUGUCAUCAUCGGGGGAGAGAAUCAUACACUCACUAAGAAAAUGCAAGAGACGGUCCUUUCUUGCUCCGAUGCCUCGAUGAAUCUGAAGUUCAGAACAUUGCCAAUGCCUUAAUUAAGCAUUAUCUAUUUUUUGUAGUAAGAACCAAUAUGCAAAGCCAUUGAAAUAAACCUGAGAAACAGUUCACACGAAAAUACUCAAUUUUCAUAACAAGGUUGAGCUAUAAGGGGAGGAAAUCUCUACCAGCUCACCCUAGAAUGGUAUCAAACUUGACAUACCACUUCCGAUGGUAAUCACAAAACCUACAAAACAAGAAGGAACCAGAUCAAAUCCUCACACCACAAACUACAAAAUCGAACC
rnacentral:lncRNA from 1 species